rnacentral:misc_RNA from 1 species
AAAGAAUGAAGCAAUACAUGUGGAGAAGUAAAAAUAAAUAAUCACUGUUGAUACAAUUCAGGUAUGCCCUGCAAAGAAUAUGCUUAUCAAUCAGCAAACAAACGUAUUGCAAGACAAAUAUUCCUCCUGUAUCACAAAAUGAAGAAAGAUUUCAAAGUUUGCGCCAAAAUAGAUAUUGCAAACUUAAAGAACGUUUAACAUUCACCAGGAACUCUUCUUCUUUGACCCUGAAUAAUAACUGAGGUACCAUCUCACAAACUUCUUAAGCCCAGUUUCCAAAUCAGUUGUAGGCUUAUAACCAAGCUCUCUCUGCGCAAAACUAAUAUUGGCGUGUGUAAACUCCACAUCCCCAUUUCUAGGCAAUGGCAGCACCUUCUUCUUAGCCUUCUUCUUCAAUAGUCUCUCCAAUAUGCCAACGAGACGACUCACAGGUACUGGCGAAGUAUUCCCCAAAUUAAAGACCCUCAAUUGCGCUGGCCUCCUCUUCUUCCCUCCACUCCCAGUACUCUUCUUUGCAGUAUCCAAUGCCGCCAAACACCCCUUCACAAUGUCGUCAAUGUAGGUGAAAUCCCUUGCCACACUCCUUCCAUCAGCUGUCUCAAAGAUACCAAUCUCCUUCCCCUUCAAAAUAUCCUUAGUAAAAAAGAAAUACGCCAUGUCGGGCCUUCCCCAUGGCCCAUAAACCGUGAAAAACCGCAACCCAGUAAUGGAGAGACCAUAAAUAUGAUUGUAAGUGUGAGCAAUUUCCUCUCCUGCCUUCUUAGUUGCUGCGUAUAAACUAGCAGGCUGAUCAGUCCUAUCCUUCUCUGAAAAGGGUACUUUCGUAUUAAGCCCAUAGACAGAACUCGAAGACGCCCACAC